rnacentral:rRNA from 1 species
AGAGAAGCAAUACCGCGAGGUGGGAGCAAAACUUCAAAAAUGGUCUCAGUUCGGACUGUAGGCUGCAACUCGCCUACACGAAGUUGGAAUUGCUAGUAAUCGUGGAUCAGCAUGCCACGGUGAAUACGUUCCCGGGUCUUGUACACACCGCCCGUCACACCAUGGGAGCUGGUAACACCCGAAGUCAGUAGUCUAACCGCAAGGAGGACGCUGCCGAAGGUGGGAUUAGCGACUGGGGUGAAGUCGUAACAAGGUAAC